UUAAUAGUAAAAUCUGCUCAAUGAAAAUUAAAUAGCCGCAAUUAGUGCUAAGGUAGCAUAAUCAUUUGUCUUUUAAAUAAAGACUAGAAUAAAAGAUUAAACAUUUAAACUUAUUUAUUUAAAUUAAAAAAAAAAAUUCUCUUAAAUGUAACAAGACAUUUAUAAAAAAAAAAGACGACAAGACCCUGUCGAACUUAACUUCAGUUUUACUGGGGUAGUAAAUUAAUUAUUAUUUUAAUCUAAAAAUUCAAUCAAAUAUCUAUACAAAUAAUCAACUCAGUUACCGCAGGGAUAACAGCGCAAUUAUAUUCUAAAGAACUUAUCUAAAAUAUAGAUUACGACCUCGAUGUUGAAUUAAUAUCCUAACUAAAGCAAAUUUUAGAAAAAGGAAGUCUGUUCGACUUUUAAAAAAUUACAUGAUUUGAGUUCAGACCGGUAUAAGCCAGGUCGGUUUCCAUCUUUUAAAAAAAUUUUUACAGUACGAAAGGACCCAUCAAUAUAAUAUCAUUAAUAUAUUGGCAGAUAAAUGCAUUAGAAUUAGAAUCUAAUUAAACUUAA
rnacentral:rRNA from 1 species